AUACGGAGGGUGCAAGCGUUACUCGGAAUCACUGGGCGUAAAGCGCGCGUAGGCGGUCUUUUAAGUUGGAUGUGAAAGCCUACGGCUCAACCGUAGAACUGCAUCCAAAACUAUUAGACUAGAGUGUGGGAGAGGAAGAUGGAAUUAGUUGUGUAGGGGUAAAAUCCGUAGAGAUAACUAGGAAUACCAAAAGCGAAGGCAAUCUUCUGGAACACUACUGACGCUGAGGCGCGAAAGCGUGGGGAGCAAACAGGAGUAGAAACCCCAGUAGUCC
rnacentral:rRNA from 1 species